GACGAACGCUGGCGGCGUGCUUAACACAUGCAAGUCGAACGGUAAGGCCCUUCGGGGUACACGAGUGGCGAACGGGUGAGUAACACGUGGGUGAUCUGCCCUGCACUUCGGGAUAAGCCUGGGAAACUGGGUCUAAUACCGGAUAGGACCACUGCCUGCAUGGGUGGUGGUGGAAAGCUUUUGCGGUGUGGGAUGGGCCCGCGGCCUAUCAGCUUGCUGGUGGGGUGAUGGCCUACCAAGGCGACGACGGGUAGCCGGCCUGAGAGGGUGACCGGCCACACUGGGACUGAGAUACGGCCCAGACUCCUACGGGAGGCAGCAGUGGGGAAUAUUGCACAAUGGGCGCAAGCCUGAUGCAGCGACGCCGCGUGAGGGAUGACGGCCUUCGGGUUGUAAACCUCUUUCAGCACCGACGAAGCGCAAGUGACGGUAGGUGCAGAAGAAGGACCGGUCAACUACGUGCCAGCAGCCGCCGUAA
rnacentral:rRNA from 1 species